UGGGGAAUCUUGCGCAAUGGGCGAAAGCCUGACGCAGCAACGCCGCGUGAGCGAAGACGGCCUUCGGGUUGUAAAGCUCUGUCAGGAGGGACGAAGCCACUCAGGUGAAUAGCCGAGAGGGUGACGGUACCUCCAGAGGAAGCCCCGGCUAACUACGUGCCAGCAGCCGCGGUAAUACGUAGGGGGCGAGCGUUGUCCGGAAUCAUUGGGCGUAAAGCGCGUGUAGGCGGCCAUCCAAGUCCGAUGUGAAAGCUCGGGGCUCAACCCCGAGUCUGCAUUGGAAACUGAAUGGCUUGAGUCCGGAAGAGGAGACUGGAAUUCCUGGUGUAGCGGUGAAAUGCGCAGAUAUCAGGAAGAACACCGGUGGCGAAGGCGGGUCUCUGAGACGGUACUGACGCUGAGACGCGAAAGCGUGGGGAGCAAACA
rnacentral:rRNA from 1 species